CCUACGGGAGGCAGCAGUGGGGAAUAUUGCGCAAUGGGGGCAACCCUGACGCCUCCCCGCCUCUUUCUUGCCGCCUUCCUUCUUUUUUUCCCUCUCUUUAAUCGGGGACGAAUUUUGACGGUACCCGAAGAAUAAGCUCCGGCUAACUACGUGCCAGCAGCCGCGGUAAUACGUAGGGAGCAAGCGUUACCCGGAUUUACUGGGUGUAAAGGGCGUGUAGGCGGGCAUGCAAGCCAGAAGUGAAAUCUGGGGGCUUAACCCCCAAACUGCUUUUGGAACUGCGUGUCUUGAGUGAUGGAGAGGCAGGCGGAAUUCCCAGUGUAGCGGUGAAAUGCGUAGAUAUUGGGAGGAACACCAGUGGCGAAGGCGGCCUGCUGGACAUUAACUGACGCUGAGGCGCGAAAGCGUGGGGAGCAAACAGGAUUAGAUACCCGAGUAGUC
rnacentral:rRNA from 1 species